rnacentral:rRNA from 1 species
UACGUAGGGGUCGAGCGUUGUCCGGAGUUACUGGGCGUAAAGCGCGCGCAGGCGGCGCGAUAAGACCGGCGUGAAAGCCCCCGGCUCAACCGGGGAGGGUCGUUGGUGACUGUCGCGCUUGAAGGCAGCAGGGGUGAGUGGAAUUCCCGGUGUAGUGGUGAAAUGCGUAGAGAUCGGGAGGAAUACCGGUGGCGAAGGCGGCAUCCUGGACCGGCAUUGACGCUGAGGAGCGAAAGCCAGGGGAGCAAACGGG